GGGAAACAGAGGCCCAGACAGCCAAUGUGCUCAUAGACAAGGAAGAGAACAAGCUUAGGGUUUAGCAUUUCUAGGACUCCCAUCUGCUGAGCCAUCACCCAUGCUAGGCCUCAAAGAUGGGUCUCCUCGCUAGUGGAAGCUUCUAGAGGACACUCACAUUCCUUCAGCUUUAAAGCCAGCAAUGUCCCACGGCGUCCCCCUCACCGCACAUCACCCUGACCUCCUCGUGACCUCUUCCACAUUUAAAGGGAACAGGAGUUCAGCACCCUGCCCAGGGACACAGGUGCACCAACUUUCGGUGAUAUCGCACCACCUUCGAAACAAGACAGGGUGCUGUGGUCAACGAGGAGACCCGGACAGUGCAUUGCGAAGGCAAGGAGUGUUUGAGGGCUGGAUGCACUAUUUUCUGUUCAGAAGGAGACCUGUAAGCAGCAGCUUCGGCUCUCCAUGUCC